rnacentral:rRNA from 1 species
GUGAGGAAUUUUCCGCAAUGGGCGAAAGCCUGACGGAGCAAUGCCGCGUGAAGGAUGAAGGCCUAUGGGUUGUAAACUUCUUUUGUACGGAACGAAACGGUCCUGGUUAAUACCUGGGGCUAAUGACGGUACCGUAAGAAUAAGCACCGGCUAACUACGUGCCAGCAGCCGCGGUAAUACGUAGGGUGCGAGCGUUAAUCGGAAUUACUGGGCGUAAAGCGUGCGCAGGCGGUGCUGUAAGACAGGCGUGAAAUCCCCGGGCUCAACCUGGGAAUUGCGCUUGUGACUGCAGUGCUGGAGUACGGCAGAGGGGGAUGGAAUUCCGCGUGUAGCAGUGAAAUGCGUAGAUAUGCGGAGGAACACCGAUGGCGGAGGCAGUCCCCUGGGCCUGUACUGACGCUCAUGCACGAAAGCGAGGGGAGCAAAAGGGAUUAGAUACCCCUGUAGUCC